GGAAAAGCGAUCUGCCAAUCGACUAACAGAAAUUGCCUUUCCCGCCUGACACAUAAGGGAGGUGUUUAACAAGACCAGAAGCAGUUCAGACACUCUUUCUCAGUCCCUUGUGGAUCCGAACAGCACUGGUGGAGUCUGAUAAUGACAGGCGUGGUUAAUGAACAGGAAAGUCUCUGUUCUCUAAGAGCUUUCGUUUACAGCUCCGCGAGGCACAGUGAGAUGAGUGGAGGGGGGGGUCAAGCAAGCAAGAAAUAGAUCAGCCCUCGCUACAUCUUCCUUCCUUACAAUGUAAUUUACCACGA